rnacentral:rRNA from 1 species
GCCUAACACAUGCAAGUCGAACGGUAACAUUUCUAGCUUGCUAGAAGAUGACGAGUGGCGGACGGGUGAGUAAUGCUUGGGAACUUGCCUUUGCGAGGGGGAUAACAGUUGGAAACGACUGCUAAUACCGCAUAAUGUCUUCGGACCAAACGGGGCUUAGGCUCCGGCGCAAAGAGAGGCCCAAGUGAGAUUAGCUAGUUGGUAAGGUAACGGCUUACCAAGGCGACGAUCUCUAGCUGUUCUGAGAGGAAGAUCAGCCACACUGGGACUGAGACACGGCCCAGACUCCUACGGGAGGCAGCAGUGGGGAAUAUUGCACAAUGGGGGAAACCCUGAUGCAGCCAUGCCGCGUGUGUGAAGAAGGCCUUCGGGUUGUAAAGCACUUUCAGUUGUGAGGAAAAGUUAGUAGUUAAUACCUGCUAGCCGUGACGUUAACAACAGAAGAAGCACCGGCUAACUCCGUGCCAGCCGCCGCGGUAAUA